rnacentral:snoRNA from 24 species
CCGAUACAUAUAAAACAUGCAUUCUAUUCACUGUGCCAUCUGUCAAUUUGUUAGAUGAUCAGAGGGGAAAAGAAGAGCUAGAGCAAUGGUUACGGAAUGGUAGCAAUACCAUAUCGUGAUCUCUAAUGAGCGUCCUCAUACUGUCCAAGGUGUUCAACCAUUUUACAAUGAAUAUUUAUGGCCUUGGUCGGUAACUGCGCAAGUGAGAUAUUU